UCUGCGCGCAGGCCCAGGGCGGCGAAGCGCGCCCGCCCUGGAACUGCCGGUUUCCUGCGCUUCCAGAGAAUGAGUUGGAAGGAUUUUUCACAGAGGGUGAUGGAGUUACAUCGGAACCCCUUGCUGGAUUCUUCAGUGCUCUGGUGUGAUGUUGUCCUGGCUGAAGCUGAACCUCUGGCCUUGCUCACAGGGAAAUGGGGAAGGUGGCGAGUCCUCCUUAUGGAUGCGUACGUGGCCAUGUUUACCUUUUGAUCUAGCACCCCGAUGAUAUUACUGUCAACAUCUCUGCCUCUGCUCCCCACCUCAUUAUUUGUUUGACCCUGUUGAUAUUCAUGAAAUCUUUUCUUUCGUGAGAAGGGCAAGAGGACAUUUGAGUGGGGGUAACCCAAGACAAUGGAGAGAAUGGGAGCUUCCAUUUCCACUCUGCCCUAAGGAAUGGAUUUGAGUUCUCAUGAGAUACUAGCCACCUUUGUUGCAGGAAACAGGAUGCACCUCACAUGGACAAACUGGAGAGGCAUGAAUAAACGUACUCCUUCCAGAGAUGUGAGCAGAAAUGAAGAAGCCAAUAAUGGAUACUGAUGAAAGCAGACUAGCAACACCACAUCCAGGCAUGAAGGAACAAAGGGAAGAAAGGACCUUAAUGGAACCCAGGGACAGUGGGGCCACUCAGCAGGAGCUGUAGCCUAGAAGGUCUGCAGGCCAUACUGGAAUUGUGAAGACAAAGCAAGGAAGGGGUAGAAAAUAAAUGCCUCAUCCUCACUCCUCCCUCUGGAUGGACUCUUCUACUGGUAACUCCCAGUGGUCAAAUCCAACCAGGAGCCCACUCUGAUCAGGACCAGCCUCCCAGUGCUCAGAGAAGGGCAAGGUAGAGAAGAACGGCAAAUAAAACAACAUACAGGGUUAGAGAAGGGGCAGAAACAUAUAGGAAUGUCUGUCCAGAGACUUAAGAGAUUCCAGACAUGUUAGCCUGAGCUAACAGAAAUAUGAAAGACAGUUUGUGAGACUCUGGGCCUAGGCAGAACUGCUUUGUGGGUCAGCCAAGGAAGCGUAGCUGGAUUUGGAGAGAAGACCAUUCGUUCCGUCCAGACUUGGAGUCCAGCAGAGCUCUUGCGUUUCAAGGACCGUAAAUGCUGGAGGCAUCAGAGAAUCUGGGGCACGGACAUUAGAGAUCUUGUGCCACUCUGUGGGAAGAAGAUUUUGCCAACCAGGAGCGUGUGGUGGCUGCAGCUGAUGGUCCCGUGUCUGGACUCACAAGAGGAAGGCUUCCUGGCCCUCAGCUCUGGGGACUGGAGCAAUCGACUCAGGCCACCCUGGUCGUGUGUUGGUGACCUACAUCUACAGUAAGAACCGUUUGC